GUGCUUAAGAACGUUCCGGGGUUCUCAUUUCUCGCUCCUUCCUCUACGAUUGCAAACGCCCGAUUCUAGGGUUUCGAUCGCCGCCUCUCUUGGGAUUCCAGGUACGCUGCUCCUUCGUCUCAAUUCCAUUGGCUUAGGGCGGAGUAGAGGAGGAGGCCAAGAUGGGGUUUCAGAUGCGGCCGUACGGGAUCCAGGCGAUGCUCGACGAGGCGGUGCUCAAGAACAUUGGCGCUUGCAAGGAGCUCUCCGUCAUCACCCGCACCUCCCUCGGCCCCAAUGAUAUUUGAAGAACAAGAUUGAACCUAAUGAGAAGCAUAGGAACAUGUGGAUAGGAGUCUGCAUUUUGUUUCCUCGAGCCUAGACAAGGAUGCUUGCCGACCACCAGGUGGAAUCUCCAAUUCCCAGAUUUGUUCGACUUCAUAUUCCCCUGAGGUUGUUGGAGUGCAUGAUACAUCAUGGAGCUCUAUGCAAGAAAAGGAAGCAAAUGUUACAUCACUUGAGUCUUUUAACAUGGACCAAACAGUUUCUGAUCUGAACCAUGAAGCAGGAGAACCAGAGUCUCUCGCCCAAGAACAUAGGAUAUGUUCCAGAUAGCCCUUCUCUUUCUUCUGAGAAGCAACUGGAUGGUUUUGUUGAGGAUUCUUAGGAAACAGAUAUUGUUAAUGUGAAGAAUGAGGAUCAUCAAAAUUCCCAGGUAAUUGAUUCUAUGGAGGAUGGUGGGGAUGGUGGAGAUUGUUAGGAAGUUAAAAGUUCUGAGGCCAGGGUUGGGGAUGGUGGAGCUUGCCAGGAACUUAGUAUAACUGAAACAGCGGACGGAGAUUGUGAUAACUGCCAGGAACUGGAUGCUACUUGGGCAGAUGGUGGAGAUGUUGAAGAGGGCCAAAAUAAUGCUGUUACUGAAGCAGAUGGCAUGGAUGGUGAAUGCCAGAAAGUUGUCCCCACUGAAGCAGGGAGUGGGUUCUACGGUGGCCCUUGCCAAGAGAAUCUUCCUCCCACAUACUGUCAAGAUAUCAUAAUAGCUGAUGAUGAGAGUUCGUUAGAUGACGAAGAUAAUGAGAGGCUAACUGCAAAGAGAUUAGAACAGCAACCUUGCAAACGUCAGAAGGUUAUGCUCCCUGAAGGCAGAAAGCCGAAGGCGCACCCGAAGCUUCACAGGAGACUGCCCUUGAAUGGCUCUACAAUAUUUAGUCAUUUUUGCUUGAUUAAUGCUCCUUGUAAAUUUUUCUGUGACAUACUAGCAGUCUGUAUCUGGCCGCAUAGGAUAUGGGGUGUUCAUAGGGGUGUCUUUUAGUAUCUCCUCUCUUUACCUGCAUUGGUGAUUUUGUUUGUUAGCUGCAUCAUUAGAUAACCAAUUGAGGUGUCCUUGCCUUUCACAAUGAAUUAUUCUCCGUUAGUCACUGUUUAGCAAUUCUUGUGCUCUUCAUGAAACAUUGUGUCAAUACUAGGGGGACAUGCAGGGCAGAUAUUAAUUCAAGAAUAUACUCAUGAAAAGUACAGGGAGAAGCAUUUCCAUUAUCUUGCAGAAAUUGUAACUGAAAGCACAAAAGCCAAGUGAAGCAGCUAAUGGGCACUGUUUUCUGAAUGUCGAAGAUUACAAUACGGGAUUCCAUUC